rnacentral:rRNA from 1 species
AAGGGGGUUUCUUGCUGACCAGCGGAGGUUCAUUACCGAGUUUACAACUCCCAAACCCCUGUGAACAUACCUAUUGUUGCCUCGGCGGAUCAGCCCGGCCCCGGUAAAACGGGACGGCCCGCCAGAGGACCCUAAACUCUGUUUUUAGUGUAACUUCUGAGUAAAACAAACAAAUAAAUCAAAACUUUCAACAACGGAUCUCUUGGUUCUGGCAUCGAUGAAGAACGCAGCAAAAUGCGAUAAGUAAUGUGAAUUGCAGAAUUCAGUGAAUCAUCGAAUCUUUGAACGCACAUUGCGCCCGCCAGUAUUCUGGCGGGCAUGCCUGUUCGAGCGUCAUUUCAACCCUCAAGCUCAGCUUGGUGUUGGGAUUCGCGGAGCAAUCCGCGGUCCCCAAAUUGAUUGGCGGUCACGUCGAGCUUCCAUAGCGUAGUAAUUACAACCUCGUUACUGGUAAUCGUCGCGGCCACGCCGUUAAACCCCAACUUCUGAAUGUUGACCUCGGAUCAGGUAGGAAUACCCGCUGAACUUAAGCAUAUCAUAAGCCGGGAGGAG